rnacentral:lncRNA from 1 species
UGGACUUAUCAAGCACCUCCUUCUCUGUACCCAACAGUAGGGGUUCAUUUUCCCAUUGGCUGUGCUUUCUGGUAAAUUUGUGAGGUCGUGGCCAGUAUUAGCCCAUUCCUGGUGGUGUCCGGAGCCCCUCGGGCAGGGCACAGCUGGGGAGCUGGGUGCCAGCCCCUCUGCAGUGGGGCUUUUGCCCCGUCAGCUCAUAAGGCACCAGAUGCUGAGGGAUGAAUUAUUAGUAAGCUGGCUCGUUGUUUUCCGUGGCCUUUGUUUCCUGGGCGACCCGCCGGGUCCCCAGACAGUUGGUGGGGCUUUGUCGCUCUGCCUCCGAGGUUGCCGUGUUUCCUGGGGCGGUUGUUUCUGUCAGGCUGCCUUCAUCUUUAUGUCCCCUGCCUUCCUGAGUGUCUCACGAGGCUGACCUCUGCUCCUGAUCCUGCCAGCCAGGGCCAUUAGGUCACGGGACCUCAGGCUUGGCUUUCAGAGGGUGGUGGCCCUUCCUUCCUCUUUCUUGGCCUCCCUGUUCAUCCUUAGUGACUUUGCACGGGCUGGGUCGCACUGAGAUUUGAUAUUCGUCAAAGCAAGGUGACCUAAGAAUGAAUGCAGCCCAGGAGGGCCAUCCUUCCACAGUGCGCACCAUCUCUGGGGCAGAGGGACCUCGCUUCAUUGCUGCAGGGUCCUAUCUGGGCCCAGUUCUCUCAUGUAACAGCAAAGCUCAGUUUCAGAUUUGAUAACAGACUUGUUUCUGUGGCCGUCAGCGAGGCCCCCUGUUGGGAAGAAUACCUGGGGGAAACCUGAGAGAUCCCUGUCGCCUGGGUAUUCGGGAGAUGGGAGACUUUGUUUUUCUGUUGGCCGGUUGUUUCCCGAGGAAGAUGGAAGACUUGAGGGAGCGGACGGUGGAGGAACUGGAGAAGCUGCAGGAUGACCCCGAGGAGAUUGACCGUCUGGUCAUGGAGUCACCCGAGGUAAAACGAGUCGCCGACGUCUGCGUGGACCUUUCUAGGUUUGCUCACCGUGGGAUUAUCUCCAGCUUACAGAUGGGGAAACUGAGGCAGGCAGCGGUGAAAUGACGUGCCCAGGGUCACACAGCCGUCUGAAGCGGUCUGAACUCGGGUCUUCUUGACCCUGAGUCCCAGAGCAAAGGUGACUGUAAUAAUAGCA